rnacentral:rRNA from 1 species
UACGAAGGGGGCUAGCGUUGCUCGGAAUCACUGGGCGUAAAGCGCACGUAGGCGGGUUGUUAAGUCAGGGGUGAAAUCCUGGAGCUCAACUCCAGAACUGCCUUUGAUACUGAGGAUCUCGAGUCCGGGAGAGGUGAGUGGAACUCCGAGUGUAGAGGUGAAAUUCGUAGAUAUUCGGAAGAACACCAGUGGCGAAGGCGGCUCACUGGCCCGGUACUGACGCUGAGGUGCGAAAGCGUGGGGAGCAAACAGG